rnacentral:snoRNA from 1 species
UGCUGAUGAUGAAGAAUAUGGUAUUAAUGUGUUUAUGAAUUUAUUGGUGAUUACAUAAAUACCUCUACUGCCUUCCUUCUGAGGCA